AGUGAACGCUGGCGGUAGGCCUAACACAUGCAAGUCGAACGGCAGCACAGUAAGAGCUUGCUCUUACGGGUGGCGAGUGGCGGACGGGUGAGGAAUACAUCGGAAUCUACUUUUUCGUGGGGGAUAACGUAGGGAAACUUACGCUAAUACCGCAUACGACCUACGGGUGAAAGCAGGGGAUCUUCGGACCUUGCGCGACUGAAUGAGCCGAUGUCGGAUUAGCUAGUUGGCGGGGUAAAGGCCCACCAAGGCGACGAUCCGUAGCUGGUCUGAGAGGAUGAUCAGCCACACUGGAACUGAGACACGGUCCAGACUCCUACGGGAGGCAGCAGUGGGGAAUAUUGGACAAAGGGCGCAAGCCUGAUCCAGCCAUACCGCGUGGGUGAAGAAGGCCUUCGGGUUGUAAAGCCCUUUUGUUGGGAAUGAAAAGCAGCAGGUUAAUACCCCGCUGUUCUGACGGUACCCAAAGAAUAAGCACCGGCUAACUUCGUG
rnacentral:rRNA from 1 species